rnacentral:rRNA from 1 species
AUUGAACGCUGGCGGCAGGCCUAACACAUGCAAGUCGAACGAGUGGCGGACGGGUGAUUAAUGUCUGGGAAACUGCCCGAUGGAGGGGGAUAACUACUGGCAACGGUAGCUAAUACCCAAUACAAUCAGAUGUGCCCAGAUGGGCUUAGCUUGUUGGUGGGGUAACGGCUCACCAAGGCGACGAGCCCUAGCUGGUCUGAGAGGAUGACCAGCCACACUGGAACUGAGACACGGUCCAGACUCCUCCGGGAGGCAGCAUUGGGUACUAUUGCACAAGGGGCGCAAGCCUGAUGCGGCCAUGCCGCGUGUAUGAAGAAGGCCUUCGGGUUGUAAAGUACUUUCAGCGGGGAGGCGUUACCCGCAGAAGAAGCACCGGCUAACUCCGUGCCAGCAGCCGCGGUAAUUC